CCUACCCCUGCCCCUGCUUCAGUAAGAACCAUGCCCCCAAGGUGAUUGAUGAAAUGCCUAAUCCAGUUUGUUCACAAAGUCAACUUAUCUUAUCCGAAGUUGGGAAACCCCAAAUACAUUUCAUUUGCCGAUCAAAUCGAUUUCAGAUCACUGCAAACUGUUCGCACUCCGGAAAAUGGCGAUUGCUCGUGUGUUAUUUAUUCUCUUGCGAAGACGGCGGAUGAUUGGAUUUAGAAAUGACGGAUGAUUUAGGAAUGAAAGAGAACAAGCUCUUCAAAAAUCAGUUAAGUUCGUGUUGUUGGUUUAAACCGCAUAACGGUUACGCACGAAUGCAGUACUAGUUGCAUAUAAUAUUACGAUUUUGUAGAUGCUUCAACAGCAGAUGGAUAACACUAGUUAACAUAUACUAUCAUCCUAAAUUUCCACAGAA